rnacentral:lncRNA from 1 species
CUGUGUCUGUCAGUGCGGCGUCACAAUCCUGCUUGUUUUCCAUCGAUGUGCGGUCCUCAUCCCUGCCGGAAGGCUCUGUCGGAACGCUUCUCCUCUCUGCUCCACUUUCGUCGCUCUCGCAUCUCUGGGCACGCUUAGCUGCAAGGUUUGCGUCUGAUGGUUUUCGACUCCCUCGACCGCAAUGGAGUUUCUCUUCCUUCUUUCCUAGCCCCUUCUGGACACUGUUGGGGGGGUUGGCCGGCAUCGAGGCCUGCGCGUCUGUCUCUUCGCGCCUGUUGUCUCCCUCUCCCGGUUCCCUCCAGGCUGUUAUUGCAUGCGCGCGCAGCUCUUUUUCGCGAAGCUCCUCCUGUCGCCCUCUGCAGGAAGUUCCGUCUUCCAAGAGCCGAAUCUGCAAGGGAUGGAUGUCGAGAAAAAGCUGCGAACCGACCGCCGGCUCUUCGAGUCUUUGCGUGUGCGGAAACUCCAGUUCACCUGAUGCAUCCCUUCGCCGAAACUGCUCUGGACGGAAGCCUGGCGAAGCCGCAGAGCCAAGGGGGACUCUGAAGGCGCCAGGACUGGUGAGCAAGGGCGGCGACUGAAGAGGAGACAAAGAGGGCGAGUCUCCGACGAGCACAGCCUCGCUUGUCUCCUCUUCAGAAGCAGCUAGAGCAGCUUUGCUCCCAGUCCGAGUGGAAAUGUGUUUCCUCAGCGCAAUACGUCUGCCUGGCGGAGAAAAGGAGUUGCAAACAACGGCUGUGUUGACAUCUUUUCUUCCGCUACGCAUCUCACGAGGCUUCACUUCCUGAGGCGCGGGCCUCAGACCCACGAGUGCUGCCGCGGGUCUGUCUCUACCUCUGUUUUCAUGGGCGUCUUCAGCAGAACGCGACAGAAGAGACGGAGCGUUGUAGGGCGGUGACGGCGAUGGCUGCAUCGAUUCGAGUUCAUGUUUGUCCCUACAUGUGAUACCGGUAGUGGGGUUCUUCGAACUUCUCCGAAACGCCUCUGCCUUGCGUAGCUGUUGCCUCUCAAACGGUGUCUCUGACUCGCGGUCAAGGGACUGCGAGGCCAAAGGCGAAGGAACAGUGUGUCGUGGCUGUCCGGCGUUGUCUUGCUCAGCAGCAGGCGAGGGCUUGGGCGCAGAAACUCGACUGUCUCUCUCUUCUGUCCUUGUAGGGACGCAGCAGAUCCGAUGCUGUUCUGCAGAGCGAUCCGUGAGCUUUCUUGAGUCUUUGAAACCCUCGGAAGAGAAGUUCGAGCCGCAAGCGGACUGAUCGGGACUGCGCCAGGAGUUCGGCG